rnacentral:lncRNA from 1 species
AAACAACAACAGAACUAAGAAAAGUAUAAUGCAAAAAAUCUCAAUAUAAUGAGAACAAUGGAUGGAGAUCUCGAGGAUCUUACUUAAAUCAAAUAAUAAAUAAUACAAAUUAUUAAAACAAAAGAACAUUGAAUACAUAAUAAGUAAACCGGAUCAUUUCGGGAAGCAUGCAUCAAAUUUUGGCAGAGGAAAUGGAGUUGCUAAAAAUAAGAGGACAAAAGGAAUUAGAAGUCAUGGAAAUGGCAUAAAAUGACUGAAUAAUUAAUAUCAAUAGUAGGUUGAUGAAUGAGAUGCUGAUGGGGGUGGAGGUGAAGCAUAAAUGACGGAUUUCUCGUACUUCUCAAGUGGUAUAGGUGAGGCAUAGGUAGAAGUUUGCUUGUAAUAGUUUGCGGUUGGCGAGGGUGAAUAAUAAGAUGGUGAUUUUUCAUAGGCAAAUUGUAAGUUAUCGGCAAAUACACUUAGUAUUUUGGUGGAGGUGGAGGAGAUUUAUAGUAAGGUGUAGAUUCUUUUGUAGUAUGGUGGAGGUGGAGAUUUGUAAGAAGAUGGCGAUUGCUCAUAAUAUUUUGGUGGGGGUGGAGGUGAUUUGUAAUAAGGUGACUGCUCAUAGUAUUUUAGAGGAGGUGGAGGUGACUUGUAAUGCGAAGGUGAUUUUUCAUAAUAAGUUAGUGAUGGUGAAGACUUGUAGUAAACUGGGGACUUGUUAUAUUUUGGUGGAUGUGAUGACUUGUAAUAUUUAGAGGGAGUAGGCGAUUUGCAAUAUUUUACUAGGGAUGGUAACUUGUAAUACUUUGUAGGUAAUGGUGACUUGUAGUAGUUUUUUGAUGGAGCUGGUGACUUGUAGUAUUUUGCGGGAACUGAUGACUUAUAGUACUUCUUUGAAGGAGCUGGUGACUUGUAGUAUUUAGCGGAAGCUGGGGACUUGUAGUAUUUUGCGGGAACCGGCGACUUAUAGUAUUUUAGGGGAGCCAGCGCCCUGUAGUAUUUUGCUGGAGCUGGCGACUUGUAGUAUUUUGCAGGAGCUGGCGACCUGUAGUAUUUUUCAGUAGUUGGCGACUUGUAGUAUUUAGCGGGAGCUGGCAACUUGUAGUAGUCCUUUGAAGGAGCUGGUGAUUUGUAGUACUUAGCGGGAGCUGGCGAUAUGUAGUAUUUUGGGGGGACUGGCGACUUGUAGUAUUUAGUAGGAGCUGGCAACUUGUAGUAUUUUGCAGGAGCUGGCGCCUUGUAGUAUUUUAUUGCAACUAGACUUGUAGUAUUUUGAAGGAGCUGGCGACUUGUAGUAUUUUGCAGAAGCUGGCGCCUUGUAGUAUUUUACUGCAACGGGUGACUUUUAGUAUUUUACUGAAACUGGCGCUUGUAAUAUAUUACGGGAACUAGUGACUUGUAGUAGUGUAUUGCUGAAGCAGGUGACUUGUAGUAGGGAGUAGGUACAUGAUACUUGGGUGAAGAUGGUGAUUUGUAAAACGUAAGAAAUGUAAGAAGAUGAGGUAGAAAUAUACCCAUAAGAGUAAUCAGCAAAUACAAUGUUGGCUACAAAGCAAAUUGCCAAAGCAGCAGCAAGAAGAGGCCAUUGCCCUAAAUUCCCAAAGCUUCUCAUUUUGGAACUAUAUUGGGACAAGAGAAGGAUAGAACUAAGACUUGUGUUGCAUAGUUGAGUAAGGAACUCUAGUUUUAUACUGCAGGGAGAUUAAGACUUGUGUGGCAUAGCUGAAACACGAAAAAUUCCAGCAUAAUAUAAAUUGGUGCAUAUGUGUAUAAACUUCCAGCAUAUUCUGCUGGAACUCCACCACACGGAAAGUUCCGGCAUAAUAUACUAGAAAUUGGAGCACAUGUUUAUGAACUCUCAGCAUAUUAUGCUGGACCAGUAUAUUAUUCUAGAACAUUUUCUGGAUUCUGCUUAGUAUUUUCGUUCAAAUUUAUCUUUACAUGAAAAGUGACUAAAUUUGGAUUAUUUUUAAAACUGUGACUACUUUUCAAUUGGAAAAUUUCCGUUCCUAUACCAUAUAGGAAACUAUAUUACCAAAUAUGUUCAAAGUUUGCGACCCUUCAUGAUAAUAGUAUUCCGACAAAAUAUAGAUAAUGCAUUAAAUAAGUAAUCAUCGUAGCUGUAGGAUUCCUUAUUUGGGCGCGCUAAAAUUGGGGAAUUAAAUAUUCUUCAAGAUCUUCCACAAAGAAGAUCAAGAACAUUCCAUAAUUACGGCUUCACUCUGAUCUUCCACAACACAGAACAAGAUUUUCCAUACUCUGUUUUUGUGAUUCACUCUGUUUUAAGAAUUAUCUCUACAUCUCUCUCUAUCUCUUAAUCUCAAAAUUCAGUAAUACAAAGCAGAUGAAAAGAGAGCAGCAAUUCCACCAUUGACAGCCAUUAAAAAACUUGAAAGUUUUUAAUUCAAAUUUGAGUUUUCAAAAAUUAUUAUUUGUUUGGAUUUGUGCUGUUGAAAAUAAUCGAGCAUAUGAUUUGGAGUUUAUAUCUCAAAUUUGAGGGAUUUUGGUGAAGAUUAGACUUGAUUUUGACUGAAUUUCAGAUUGAAACUCGAAGAAUUUUGAGGGAUUUUGGUGAAGAUUAGACUUGGUUUUGACUGAAUUUCAGAUAGAAACUCGAAGAAGAAGAAGAAGAAGAAGAAGAAGAAGAAGAAGAAGAAUACAUGACAUGCAUUAUAUUGCAGAGAUUGAGACUAGAGUUGAAGUUUUUUUGUUGUAACUGGAAAACUUCAGCUCUAGAGCUGAAAUUUUUGGAGAAGAAGGGAAGGAGAAAGGAAAGCUGAAGUUUUUCAAAAAGUGGGUACGGGUACAAACAAAAAAAUAAAGCAAUUACAAGUUAAAAAUGGGCGCCCCGUCCAAUUUUUGCUGAAUUUUGAGGGAACGUAACCUUUCAUCAGGAAAAAAUAGUUAUGUCUAAACUUUUGCAAGGUCUUCAUAAUUACAGCCUAUUUUUUUCUUCAAGUUCUGUUCUUUUAAUUACUCUAUUCCCGGUUGAUAAUAAUAGUGCCCUUUGCAUUUCAUGGGGGUGUGAAAACUACAAGUGUUAGAAAAUAACAAUUUACAAACAACUAUAUCAAAAGUUUUCUCUUUUAUUGACGAAUCAUACUAUUGUAAGUUGUUUGUUAAUUUAUUAACCAAUUGAAAGCACAUCGUGCUGGAGUUGUAUUAUGUAAUUGUAAUUAUUUCUGUAAGGCUAAGUGACCAUUUCUGAACUAUCUAACAUUUCUGAACUCAUUAUUCCACCAAAUACAUUAUACAUUCUUUUGGAGUAUGAAGGCCAGCAGAUAAUAUAAGACCAAUUCUAGAAAACAUAUACAUAAAAUAUCGAGUUUGACAAAGAGACCAUAGAUUUAUGUGCCCCAUAAUCUGAACUAUAAAUCUGUCCCUUAGAUAUACAGCGAAAUAGUCAAGAUAUGUGCAAACAGACACGUACCAAUUUGUCAUUAAAAAGGAGAAAUUUUUGAAUUAGUAGCAUGAAGAAAGUGUUGCUCGACUCAUUUACAUCUCCAUACGUACAUCACACUUUGUUUCAAAGAUAAUUCUUGUUUUUUUUUUAUGCUUGCAUUGUUAGGACAUUGUAGUUGAUUAUAUAUCAUGGUAUUAUACAAAGUUAUUGAAACUAAAAAAUUGUCAAAAUUAAAAAGAAUCAAGGGCUUACACGCCAUGUCUCAAAAUUUAUAUCUCGGCUUGUGUCCCCGUCAUUUAAUACACUAUGUCAAAUAUUCAAAUUUUAGAAGUGUGCCAUUUUAGCCUUUCAAUUGUUUUCUUACAUCUUUAGAAACUGUUAAAACAAAUUAAGAAAAGUAGAAUGCACAAAAUCUCGAUAUAAUGAGAAGAAUUGAUGGAGAUCUUGAGGAUCUUUCAUAAAUCCCAAAUAAAUAUAUAAUACAAAUUAUUAAAAUAGAACACUGAAGACAAAUAAGCAAAAGCCGAUAAGUUCGAGAAGCAUACAUCAAAUUCUGGCGGAGGAAAUGGAGCUGCUAAUGAUAAGAGGACAAAAUGGAAUUAGAAGUCAUGGAAAUAGCGGAAAAUGAUUGAAUAGUUAAUAUCAGUAAUACGUUGGUGGAGGAGAUGCUGAUGGGGGUGGAGGUGAAGCAUAGGUAGCAGAUUGCUCGUACCUUUCAGGUGGUGGAGGUGAGGCAUAGGUGGGAGUUUGCUUGUAAUAGUUCGCUGGUGGUGGAGGUGAGUAAUAAGAUGGUGAUUUUUCAUAGGUCUUUGGCAGAGAUGGCAAGUC